UCCGCCGUUACGCUUUGCACCGGCGGCACGCGGGAUAUAGCCGCCGCCGCCGCCGCCGCCGCCGCCGCCGCGGUUGGAGGGAUUUUACGCGCUCGUGCGGCCGGCUGUCCGCGCUCCCGGGAUCUGCGUCGGCCUCCGUGGUGGAUUCCGGACUCCUUGCAGGGAGAGACGGAGAGACGGAGAGAGGGAGAGAGAGGGGGAGAGCUCGCCCGGUUCUCCGCGGUACUACAGAAUUCCCUAUACACCAAGAGACAUUGCAUCCCUCGAAUGUGUGCUGAAGUGACUGGGACCCCAGACUGGACUGUAAUGAGACAUGGCCUGUCAAUCACAGACAUGGGACACAAGAGAGACGAGACGAGACUUGAAAUAAUGGAAGAGCUGAAAUUGAAAUAAAUGUAGUUUGAAUAAACUGAAACCUUGCAUAGUU